CAAUAGCUUCUAUUUCAUGGAGAUGAACACCCGUCUGCAGGUUGAGCAUCCAGUGACUGAAAUGGUGACGGGCCAA
rnacentral:tRNA from 1 species